GCGAAAGGAAAAAUUGGCACGUUCUACGAAGGCUAUAAAAAAGAGGCUCACAAAAACUAAAUCUGUAAUAUCACCCAAGAGAAAGCAAGCCUCAUCCAGAACAGAAGAGCCCCCUAAGUCCAGGAAGGAAAGACGACAGCAAAGGAAAAAGGAUAGAGCCGCUUCAAGGGCUGUAAAGAAAGAGCUUAAGAAGAUUAAAUCCACACUGUCACUUCUGAAAAAGCAAACAUCAUUUGUCAUAAAUAACAAAUCCAAGCCCAGACACCCCAAACUCAACGAGAAAAACACACUUGAAACCUUUGAAGCAGCAAAGAAUCUACUUUCCUUAGCAGAGGAAAUCUUCAAUGCAUCUAUGAGGGGACAACCAACACCUGCUCAGAAAUUGUUGUCUUCACCAAAUCCAAUGAUUUCUAGUACCAGUGCAAGACCCUCUCCCACUAAGAGUUCAACCACAGCCCCGGUGAUUGGCACUACCACCUUAGUACCAUCAACCACUAACUUAGAAAUAGAGGCUACAUCCACAAAGCCUUCAGGAGAAACCACACAUGCAGGUACUUCCCCUAGUUCUACAACUUCCAUGAACACAGUGCCCUGGUCCACAACUCAUUUGGCCUCUGUGUCUACCACUAUAUCUGCUUCUACCUCAGAGGUCUCAGAAACUGAAGCAAACACCAAAGAUAUGACCACCACCCAAGUCAUGGAUAGUUCUACCACUCAAGCUGCCUCUACAACUUCAACAAGCAUAACUACCACAUCUGUCACCACUUCAAACACCACCUCUGUGCCUACUGGAGACAAAUCUAAGGGAUUUGAGACCACCACCAGUGGUAGCACAUUGUCAUCAACCAGCACAGCUGUAUCUCUUGCUCCUGCAACUACAAAAAUACCCACAACGUCUGUCUUUGUUUCUGCUGGCUCUACCAGGAAUGCAUCACAAGGCACCACACCUGCACCACACUCUACUAGAAGUGCACCUAGCACUGUCACAACUGUAAAAAAUGUGACUACCACAUUAGUGACUACAACUGUCACUCAAACAACAAAUAACACAAGCAAUGAAACUACAACCCAAGUGAGUGUAGGAACCAGUAAGUCAACAACUGGCACAACUUCUGUAGCCAUAUGAUGCCUCUCAGUGCUGUUACCAAGUAAUUCUAUGAUCUCAAAGACAAACUACACAUCUAUCAUUACCACCUCAGCUGCUGGAUCCAUAACCACAAAACUUCUGAGAGCUAUCGUCCCAAUCUCUAUAUCUUCCCCCAGAAACACAAAUGUUGCUGCCAAUGCAAUACUUGUGGAUACAUCCUCUUCUACAUCUGUGGCUCCCUCCUUCACUGCUCAACAUGGGAAUUUGGGUAAAAAUGACACCCAGGCUUCUGGAGCUACAACUCCACAGCAGGAGGAUUCCCCCAUGAACCAGAGGAAAAUAAAAUUUCUGAAGACAUACCACAGCUCCAUCACUGAUGGCCCAGCUUCUCCAGCUGACUCUACAACCUUAAGAAUAGGCACCACAACUAUAGCUACCAUCACAUCUGUGUAGCUACUGGCCACGACAUCUAUGGUUACUUCAUUAACAACCACAAUCCCCAUAGCAGCCACUACUUCCCCUGCAACCUCUCCAUCUUCACUUUCAGAUGUCACAAUUACUACCAUCAUUCUCCACAAUUGCAGUCACUCCAUUACAGGAAUGAUUGUUCAGCUGCGGAAACCAUGGCUCCAAUGGACUAGACUGAAACUCUAGUCACCAAAAACACAGCCUCAGUUUAAGCUACCUCUGCUACUAAUAGCACAGGACACUACUGCUACUAAAACUACAGACAAAAAAAAAUUGAUGAUGAUGUAUCAUUAUUAAUAAAGAAAAUCUGAGCAGAAAAAAUAAUCUAGAAAAUUUUGAAUAAUCAAGAUACAUUAUAAUGAAGAUCUAUUCAUUAUAGAUCUAUUAUGUAAAAUGACUAAGAUGGAACUACAGAUGUGGCUCAGUAGUAGAGCAUUUCUCAGGCAGGCAUGAGGAUCUAGCUUCAAUCCCUAACACUAAAAAGAUAAAAAAAGAAAAGCUAUUAAGAUUAAGGUAGCAGAAAUAGACUAUUUCUAAAAAUGCCAUAGCAUGUAUUUGCGAGUUUUAUUUAAGGUUUUGUAGUUUUUAGUGCUAUAUGGAUAAAGGUAUUCAAGACAGCAAUCAUAAUGGACAAGGUCAUUCAUUGAUAUAGUGAAGUAGAGGUGACAUGCUAUAUUCUAAAUCUAUAAUAUGAGAAAAUAUGAUCUACUCUAACAGAACUGACAGCAGCCACAAAGGUGGACACCCAAGGUAUCUUGGGACUACACAGAACAAAAUGGAUAAGAACUGGAAAUAGAAGAAAUAGAAAAGAGCAAUUCUGAAACAUUUAUGGUUAUAGUACAAUGAACUCAUUUGAUCAUUUUUAUGUCCUAAAAUUUUUUCUAUAUUCAACUGCACACCCUAAUAAUUGCCAAUAUUGAUCAAGAACUUACUGCCAUCCCUCUGAAUGGUAACAUCAUUCUAGAAAUCAUGCUACUUUCAGUCUCCCACUUUCUAAAUGUAUACACUUUUAUUUCUUCAGCUUUUGUUCAAUAAAUCAUCUUAAAACAUA
ensembl:antisense